UACGGAGGGGGCAAGCGUUGUCCGGAAUCAUUGGGCGUAAAGCGCGCGUAGGCGGCCCGAUAAGUCCGCUGUAAAAGUCAACGGCUCAACUGUUGAAAGCCGGUGGAUACUGGCGGGCUAGAGUAUCGGAGAGGUUGGUGGAAUUCUCGGUGUAGAGGUGAAAUUCGUAGAUAUCGAGAGGAACACCGGUGGCGAAGGCGGCCAACUGGACGAAUACUGACGCUGAGACACGAAAGCGUGGGGAGCAAACAGG
rnacentral:rRNA from 1 species